UUGUCAUUGGCAUUGUUUUGGCCGUCUUGUUUUGCCUUAUGACUGCUGCUGGUGGCGGGUGGCUUUGUAACUGUCUGCGGUUUCAACUACGGCUGCUGGCCAAAAGCUCGUGCCUCGCAAGCCAAGUUAACAAAACCGCCAACCCAGCCAGGCCAAGUCAGCCAGCCAGCCAGUCAGGCAGGCAGCCAGCAAAAUGUAUUUCUUUUGACGGCGUCUGACAGCCCCUGUCAUUUUAUUAAAUAUGGUUUUUCUUGAUUUCCCAGCUCCACCGCACCACCGCACCACAGCACCACCCAAAAGCAUCACCCACAACCACCCAGCCGUCGCCUUUUAUCAGUGUUCAAAAUCCCGUUGUCGUUGUCAGUGCCAACAAGUUAUGCGCUGCGGUGUUCGAUUAACGGACAUCUGCGUGGGUCGGUGGUGGUGGCUAGGUGGUGCUCCUACCGGUAGCCAGUGCAACAGGUGUCUCGUCUCCUUGUGGGCUGUGUCACGUAGCGCUGCCUGUCAGGAGCAGCUUGUAAUUGAGGCGGUGGCAAUGGUGGCAACUGGCGGUGGAGGGAGCUGGUGGGUGGUGCUGCAUCCUUUUGGUAUUCCAGAGCAGCACAUGGCGAUUAUAGCGAAUCGUCCCUCGGGCCAAAGGCUGCAACCAUGUGAGCCAUCGGAAUGUUAAUGCAAAAAUCCAGCAAAAGCAGCAGCAGCAGGUGUUUGUUUACUACAUCGCAGUAGCAACAGCAACAGCAACAAACUCAUCGGAGCGAAUUAUGAACUAUUAAGGCUCGUUAGUUCCGUAUGAAAGGCGAUUAAGCUAAUGAUAAUAAUAUUGAUAAUUAACCGUGCAGCAACAUUUACUCUAAUUUGCCAUAAACAGCGUGGAAAAAGUGCCGCAAUUAAUCAGGAAAAGUCGCUUGAAUGCCACUCGCCGAGUGGAGUUGUGUAGUAAACUAUAUAAAGCCCACGCAAGGUAUUCAAUCAAAGACCAAACGCCUGUUUAUUUGCCUGCUUUUAGCAGCAACUCAACCAUCUAGCACAUACUCGUAUUCAAUUGAAGGCAGAGGCACCCAAUCAGUGCUAAACACAUUGGCAUUUCGCUAAAUGAGUGUGGGUACAUAACUCAGGGCCCAACAAUGCCGCUUUUUAGGCCCAUCCAACUGCCAAGGCGGUUGAACUAAUUGCGCUAAUAAUGGGGAUUACCUUAGAGCUCGAAAACCAAGCGAAAAGUAACUCACACCGUGCUAAAGACUUCGAAGUCUAGCCUUUGGUGUUUCUAAACUCCAAGCUUUGGAGUUUUUCGCAGUGCAGCUAAGUAAAGCAAAGUAAAAGCAAGUCAAAGCUAAAUAAAAAUCGAGUCUGGUCGACGACGCCAACGCACUAAUGGGCGCUUUGUAGUGUCAACUGCUCAUGUGCUCAUGUGCGCUCAUGUUGGGGGAUUUUGCCAGUAGAUGCAGUGCACCCACUUCACACCACCAGCUCCGCCGCCACUGCGAACUGCAUGGGAAUGCUGGCUAGGUUGACUUGGUUGGGCUCCUUUGCAUGCGACGGGCGUUUAUUGUAAUUUCAUUAAACGAAAAAUAAACGCAAAAAUAGCUAAA